GGGUCAGUAGGUUGGUCGUGCCACCGGUACGUACUGGUCUCACUGAUUCCUCCUUCCUGAAGAACCGUAGUGCCAUUAAUUUGGUGUCGCGGGGAAACAGGACUGUUACUUUGAAAAAAUUAGAGUGUUUAAAGCAAGCUAACGCUUGAAUACAUUAGCAUGGAAUAAUGAAAUAGGACGAUCGAUCCUAUUUUGUUGGUUUCUAGGAUUGACGUA
rnacentral:rRNA from 1 species